rnacentral:ncRNA from 1 species
UUGAGCCGUAUGAGGUAGGAAACUCUCAAGUACGGUUUUGAGGGAAUAAAACUUUUCCAAGUUGGCCUAUCCCGAC